rnacentral:rRNA from 1 species
GAUGAACGCUAGCGGCAGGCUUAAUACAUGCAAGACGAACGGCAAGUUGAGUAGCAAUACUUGACCUAGAGUGUCGCACGGGUGCGUAACACGUAUGCAACCUACCUAUCACAGGAGGAUAGCUCGGGGAAACUCGGAUUAACCCUCCAUAAUAUCAAUGACUGGCAUCAGUUGCUGAUUAAAACUCCGGUGGUUAUAGAUGGGCAUGCGUCUGAUUAGUUAGUUGGUGAGGUAACGGCUCACCAAGACGAUGAUCAGUAGGGGAACUGAGAGGUUGAUCCCCCACACUGGCACUGGGAUACGGGCCCGACGCCGACGAGAGGCAGCAGUAGGGAAUAUAGGUCAAUGGAUGCAAUACUGAACCAGCCAUUCCGCGUGCAGGAAGAAGGCCUUCUAGGUUGUAAACUGCGUGUGUCAGGGGAUAAAAAGCUCGUGCGCGAGUAAUUGCAGGUACCUGAUGAAUAAGCCACGGCUAACUACGUGCCAGCCGCCGCGGUAA